GCGUUAGAUUGGUUUCCUACGGGCCUUCUAAGCCCGGGGUCGGGGGUUCGAGCCCCUCCUGCCGCGCCA
rnacentral:tRNA from 1 species